AUCAAACUACGACGCAAAAAUGCAAUCAGAAAUUUAUUGAUGUUGCCCUGUAUAUCGCGAGUUGUUGUGCACGUCACUUUUACUCGCUCCUCGUAUAUUCAAAAUGGUGUCGAACAGGGAACUAAGUUCUGGCAAAAAGUUUAUUUUAUAUUCAUAGUUUUAUAGAAAGUUAUAGUAACAGAAUGAGUUCACGAAGGUGGUUUUGGCCCACAAUCAGUGGGAUAGAAGCUGAACGAGUUUUAAUGGAAAGGGGAGUUGAUUGCAGUUUUCUAGCAAGACCAAGUUCAAAUCCAGGAGCCUUCACCUUAUCAGUCAAGAGAAAUGGAGAGGUUACCCACAUCAAAAUACAAAACUCGGGUGAUUUCUAUGACUUGUAUGGUGGAGAAAAAUUUGCUACGCUUUCAGAGUUGGUCCAGUACUAUAUGGAAAACCAAGGGCAACUUAGAGAAAAGAAUGGAGAAGUUAUUGAAUUAAAGUAUCCUCUAAGUUGCGCUGACCCCACAACUGAAAGAUGGUUUCAUGGACACCUGUCAGGAAAGGAAGCAGAAAAACUAAUUUUAGACAGGGGUAAAAAUGGAAGCUUUUUAGUCAGAGAAAGUCAGUCGGCUCCGGGCGAUUUCGUUCUUUCUGUUAGAACCGACGAUAAAGUGACUCAUGUCAUGAUUAGAUAUUCGGAUAACCGAUACGAUGUUGGAGGAGGGGAGAAAUUCGAUAGUUUAGCGGAACUCAUUGAGUAUUACAAAAAGAACCCAAUGGUAGAAACUUCAGGGACGGUUGUCCAUCUAAAACAACCUUUCAAUGCUACCAGAAUUAAUGCUUCAGGGAUUCACUCAAGAGUCAAACAACUGCAGAGCGAGAAUGGGCCGAACGGGAUGGGCAAAGCCGGCUUUUGGGAGGAGUUCGAGUCGUUGCAACAACAAGAAUUUAAACAUCUGUAUUCCAGAAAAGAGGGCGUUAAGCCGGAAAACCGAAACAAAAAUAGAUAUAAGAAUAUAUUGCCUUUCGACGAUACCAGAGUGAAGUUAAAAGAUGUGGACCCCAACGUGCCAGGUUCUGAUUAUAUUAACGCUAACUACAUCAGAUGGAAAGCUGAUUACAGUGGGGCGAACGAAUUAGGAAGUGAUCCCAGUGGAAAAGUUUAUAUUGCAACGCAAGGCUGUUUACCUUCUACGAUCGCCGAUUUUUGGCAGAUGGUCUGGCAGGAAAAUUGUAGAGUAAUAGUAAUGACCACGAAAGAGACUGAAAGGGGCAAAACUAAGUGUGCGAGGUACUGGCCUGAUCAAGGAACGAAAGAGUACGGAAAAAUCAAAGUUAAAAUGUUGAUGGAAUCGUCCAGCCCCCACUACACGUUGAGAGAGUUUUUAGUUAGCAUGGAUGGAUUGAAUUGCGAGAGAAAAGUUUUUCAAUACCAUUUUCAGGCAUGGCCAGAUCAUGGCGUGCCGUCAGACCCAGGCUGUGUAUUAAAUUUUCUUCAUGAGGUUAAUAAGAGACAAGAGAGUCUGCAGCAAGAGCUUCCAGAUAAUCCCCCAGGUGCUAUUUUAGUGCAUUGUUCUGCCGGUAUUGGAAGAACAGGCACAUUUAUUGUUAUUGAUAUGAUAUUGGACCAGCUUAAGAAGUAUGGUUUAGACUGUGAAAUAGAUAUACAACGCACAAUACAAAUGGUUAGAUCCCAACGUUCUGGGAUGGUACAGACUGAAGCCCAAUAUAAAUUUGUUUAUUUAGCAGUACAACACCACAUAGAGACCACUACUGAAAGGAUGAAGGCUGAACAAGGUGUCCCAGAAUUCGCGCCAUUCCCGUGAAUGACAUGUUCCCUGUCCCGAACUGUGCCGUAAUUCGCAAAAAGAAUUGUCCAGGCUUUAACCGUGUGAGAACUGGAAGGCGAUUAAGUUGACCAAUAGAGAGGCUGCUUUUAUAUCCGAACGUUUCUAUGUUCAAAGUUACCUAUGCCAAGAACAAAAAAUCGGGUAAUACUAAAGUUGAAUGAUUUUUUUCCGAAUCCCCCUCCGUCAACGAAAGGAAACAGAAGUGUGGUUAUAAAUUUAAUCAUUUUGACAAUUGUUUGUCAUAAACUGUCACGAAGUUCAUCACUGACCUGAAGAGACGCUUCUGCGCCAAAGAUGACUGAUUAAGGUACACAGAGACAGAGACGUUUACUUUAAGGCAAGUAGCAUGGGACAGAAGUUAUUUCUGCUGCCAUUCUAGUUAAAUUGUGUUUAACUGGGCUGUACAUGUCAUAAGAGAAGCUGUUUCAUUUCAUCGUAGGCAAAUAAUACAUUUAUUACUAUUCUACAUAGAGUAGCUACCGAAGAGCAGGUAUUAGAAGUCAUUUUCUUAGAGCCCCGUGAAUAAUCGUCGGCACCCAGACCAACAAGUGUUUCACCGAUUGUUACAUCGAGCAAGUGAAGAUGGAUCUUUUCAACCUAGUCGGAAAGGCCGUGCUGGGGCUCCACGGAAUGUACGUGUGGGUGCUGAAGAGCAAGUGUUAGAAAACAUGGAAGCGGAUCCUAGGAGAAGUGUCCUCUAUGUAGCGCAAAUGAGUGGAUGCUCAAGAUCGACCACUCAUCGUACCCUUCAAGAGAGAAUACUGCAUCCUUACCAUUACACGAGAGUGCAGCAUCUGCGACCAACCGACUACCCGCGACGAGUACAUUUUGCUCAAUGGUUUUUGCGACAAAAUGAACUAAAUCCUGAUUUUUCACGGCGCAUUCUUUUCACCGACGAAUGUUCAUUUUCCCGAGAAGGAAUGUUUAAUGCACACAAUUGGCACUUCUGGGCACACGAAAAUCCACAUCUCACUAGGGUGAGAGCGUAUCAGGAGCGAUUUAAUAUUAAUCUAUGGGCUGGAAUCAUUGGUGCUACUGUGGUGGGGCCGUUUGUGUUACCUGAUCACCUUAAUGGGGAGGCAUAUGCUAAUUUUCUACGACUAGAGCUUCCGGCGUUGUUGGAAGACGUUCCUUUGAAUGUACGGCGGAAUAUGUGGUUUCAGCACAACGGCGCUCCUCCACAUAAUUCGAUACUUGCACGGCGAACAUUGAAAAGAGUCUAUCUAUCUAUGUUAAAUAAUAUACAACACAACAUAAUGCGACGAGCUAGAACUGGCAUUGAAGUUAAUGGUGAUCAUUUUGAGCACAUUUUUUAAUAACGUUACAGUACAAAGAUUCCGGCCCAUAGAUUAAUAGUAUUGCUCUUGAUAUGCUCUCACGUUAGCUAAAUGUGGAUUUUCGUUUGCCCAGAAGUGCCAGUUGUGCGCAUUAAAUAUUCACAUGCUGGUCAAGGAGCCGAUGAUUGGGGAAAAGACCUGUAUAUUCGCACACAGCAGUGGCUGCAUAGCGUUUACAUUCUCCAUAAAUUAACAUCAUUUCCAAAUAUUCUUUAUACUAGUAUGAAUAAGACAUCAGUGACUUAGUGGUAUUGGUACUGAUUUGUUUAUAGUUUGUAUUGUUCUUAAAAAAAAAUGCAACUACACGAUUUUUGUUAUAAUUUUUAUUCGUAUCUUUUCACUCUCUAGAAAGUACUCGCAACUUUAAAGAAACUGUUUUAAAUCAUCAUGUGCAACAUCAAUAUUAUUCUUGAAUAAGUCUCAGUUUUCAGUAUCUCCCCCACAUGAUUGACACCACAGCAGAUACCUAUGAUCUUAAUACACCAGAGAACUGGAGUCUCGUCUCUUUUUUCGUUGCUUAGAUUAGGUAUCAGCAACAAAGCUGUUCAGUAAAAAUUGAUACUGUUUAUUGAAAAUCAUAAGCACCGAUUAAUCAAAAGCGAUAUUUAUGUUUUAGUACACUAAAUAACGUUCUUUGAAUGGACAUGCGGUACUCUUUUUUAGAAAUAACGAUAAACUUAAUAUCAGGGAUAUGAUGCAGAGUAAAUUCUGAAAAUGUACUAAUUUUCGUUAAAAAUAACAACACAUUACUCACGGGGCUCUAAGAAAAUGACUUCUAAUACCUGCUCUUCGGUAUCUACACUAUGUAGAACAGUAAUAAAUGUAUUAUUUGCCUACGAUGAAAUGAAACAGCUUCUCUUAUGACAUGUACAGCCCAGUUAAACACAAUUUAACUAGAAUGGCAGCAGAAAUAACUUCUGUCCCAUGCUACUUGCCUCAAACUAAACCUUGACGUCUCUGUGUACAUUAAUCAGUCAUCUUUGGCGUAGAAGUGUCUCUUCAGGUCAGUGAUGAACUUCGUGACAGUUUAUGACAAACAAUUGUCAAAAUGAUUAAAUUUAUAACCACACUUCUGUUUCCUUUUGUUGACGGAGGGGGAUUCGGAAAAAAUUCAUUCAACUUUAGUAUUACCCGAUUUUUUGUUCUUGGCAUAGGUAACUUUGAACAUAGAAACGUUCGGAUAUAAAAGCAGCCUCUCUAUUGGUCAACUUAAGCGCCUUCCCGUUCUCACACGGUUAAAGCCUGGACAAUUCUUUUUGCGAAUUACGGCAGAGUUCGGGACAGGGAACAUGUCAUUCACGGGAAUGGCGCGAAUUCUGGGACACCCUGUAUAUAAGAGAACUGAUAAAAUAAUAUUUUGCUUUUUAUAUUGUGGGCAGUCAAGUUUAAAAUUGAAUGCCUAUAGCAGAUAGAAAAUUUCAGUUACAAAGUUUAAACAACAUGAAAAGGUUUCUCAUCACAUCUCAUUUACAAACUCUUUGAUACUGAAUACGGGCAUGUGUUUUUUUUGUUUGUUUUGUUUUAAUCUCCAUAAUUACGUACUAAUAAGAGAAAAACCUCGUCGCAUGUAAAUAAAACGAGUACGAUUCAAUUAGUAAUGUAUUUAUUCAGGGAGGGAGGUGUUUACGUUUUUACAAAUUUUUUCAGCCUUUUAAACAGUUACCGCCAAAAGAAAAGCAUUACAGAACUUGUAUGCGGGAUAUUUUUUUCUCGACUCACUGCUCAAAUCACUGAACGGAAGCAAAUUAUACAAUGAAUGAUUAUGUAAAAUAAAUUCUGUUCAGGAAUAUUCUAAAAUUGAUACCAGUUUUAAUAGAAAUGAAUAUAACAAUAACUUUUUUUUUCUUUUGGAGUUGCUUGCUUCCAAAAUGCAGUAAUACAGGGCUUUCAUUAAUGCUUGACAUCUAGUGGGGCGCACAUUAUAUUUAUAAGUUGGUACUACUGGCAGUUUAGUUGACGUAUUAGAAUUUUACGAUAAAGCAGUAGUGAUGCGUAGAAAGUACCAACUGAUUUUCAAAAUGCAUGGCUUACUAAACUCAAAUCCAUAAGGUUGUAACCACUCCCUAGUGUAAAUUUUUAAAAAUUAUUCAGUGUAAAUCUGUCUUUUAAUAACCUGGUGACAUAUUUGGUGACCUGUCAAUAUAAUGUCAGUUCAUUCAUGUAUUCGCGACACAUGAUUACGUUCGACUUCACUGCAAUUCUUGCACUCCUGCACAGGUUAUUUCAUAAUUAUCAUUGUAACUUGUCGCAAUAUUGUAAAAACUGAUAAACAAUUUUCAAUAAAAACAGGAUAACCUGAGUCUUCAUGGUAAUUAUAAUACAAGAGCAACGAUAAAUACAGGGUGUCCCAGAAUUCGCGCCAUUCCCGUGAAUGACAUGUUCCCUGUCCCGAACUGUGCCGUAAUUCGCAAAAAGAAUUGUCCAGGAUUUAACCGUGUGAGAACUGGAAGGCGAUUAAGUUGACCAAUAGAGAGGCUGCUUUUAUCUCCGAACGUUUCUAUGUUCAAAGUUACCUAUGCCAAGAACAAAAAAUCGGGUAAUACUAAAGUUGAAUGAAUUUUUUUCCGAAUCCCCCUCCGUCAACAAAAGGAAACAGAAAUGUGGUUAUAAAUUUAAUCAUUUUGACAAUUGUUUGUCAUAAACUGUCACGAAGUUUAUCACUGACCUGAAGAGACGCUUCUGCGCCAAAGAUGACUGAUUAAUGUACACAGAGACAUCAAGGUUUACUUUAAGGCAAGUAGCAUGGGACAGAAGUUAUUUCUGCUGCCAUUCUAGUUAAAUUGUGUUUAACUGGACUAUACAUGUCAUAAGAGAAUCUGUUUCAUUUCAUCGUAGGCAAAUAAUACAUUUAUUACUAUUCUACAUAGAGUAGCUACCGAAGAGCAGGUAUUAGAAGUCAUUUUCUUAGAGCCCCGUGAAUAAUCGUCGGCACCUAGACCAACAUGUGUUUCACCGAUUGUUACAUCGAGCAAGAGAAGAUGGAUCUUUUCAACCUAGUCGGAAAGGCCGUGCUGGGGCUCUACGGAAUGUACGUGUAGGUGCUGAAGAGCAAGUGUUAGAAAACAUGGAAGCGGAUCCUAGGAGAAGUGUCCUCUACGUAGCGCAAAUGAGUGGAUGCUCAAGAUCGACCACUCAUCGUAUUCUUCAAGAGAGAAGACUGCAUCCUUACCAUUACACGAGAGUGCAGCAUCUGCGACCAACCGACUACCCGCGACGAGUACAUUUUGCUCAAUGGUUACUGCGACAAAAUGAACUAAACCCUGAUUUUACACUGCGCAUUCUUUUCACCGACGAAUGUUCAUUUUCCCGAGAAGGAAUGUUUAAUGCACACAAUUGGCAUUUCUGGGCACACGCAAAUCCACAUCUCACUAGGGUGAGAGCAUAUCAGGAGCGAUUUACUAUUAAUCUAUGGGCUGGAAUAUAUCAAUGGUACUACUGUGGUAAAAAUUUUAAUGCAUCUGAUAAAAUUAUCACUAAACUCCGUUCCUGUUUUUUUAAGUGGGGCCGUUUGUGUUACCUGAUCGCCUUACAUUCUCCAUAAAUUAACAUCAUUUCCAAAUAUUCUUUAUACUAGUAUGAAUAAGACAUCAAUAACUUAGUGGUAUUGGUACUGAUUUGUUUAUAGUUUGUAUUGUUCUUAACAAAAAUUGCAACUAAACGAUUUUUGUUAUAAUUUUUAUUCGUAUCUUUUCAAUCUCUAGAAAGUACUCACAACUUUAAAGAAACUGUUUUGAAUCAUCAUGUGCAACAUCAAUAUUAUUCUUGAAUAAGUCUCAGUUUUCAGUAUCUCCCCCACAUGAUUGACACCACAGCACAUACCUAUGAUCUUAAUACACCAGAGAAGUGGAAUCUCGUCUCUUUUUUCGUUGCUUAGAUUAGGUAUCAGCAACAAAGCUGUUCAGUAAAAAUUGAUACUGUUUAUUGAAAAUCAUAAGCACCGAUUAAUCAAAAGCGAUAUUUAUGUUUUAGUACACUUAAUAACGUUCUUUGAAUGGACAUGUGGUACUCUUUUUUAGAAAUAACGAUAAACUUAAUAUCAGGCAUAUGAUGCAUAGUGAAUUCUGAAAAUGUACUAAUUUUCGUUAAAAAGAACAA